rnacentral:rRNA from 1 species
CCAUGCAUGUCUAAGUACAUGCCGUAUUAAGGCGAAACCGCGAAUGGCUCAUUAAAUCAGUUAUGGUUCCUUGGAUCGUACCUUACUACUUGGAUAACUGUGGCAAUUCUAGAGCUAAUACAUGCAGCAGAGCUCCGACCUUCGGGGACGAGCGCUUUUAUUAGACCAAAACCAAUCGGACCUCGCGUCCGUUUCUGGUGGUGACUCUGUAUAACUUUGGGCUGAUCGCACGGGCCUGUCCCGGCGACGUAUCUUUCAAGUGUCUGCCUUAUCAACUUUCGAUGGUAGGUUACGCGCCUACCAUGGUCGUAACGGGUAACGGGGAAUCAGGGUUCGAUUCCGGAGAGGGAGCCUGAGAAACGGCUACCACAUCCAAGGAAGGCAGCAGGCGCGCAAAUUACCCACUCCCGGAACGGGGAGGUAGUGACGAAAAAUAACAAUACGGGACUCUUUUGAGACCCCGUAAUUGGAAUGAGUACACUCUAAAUCCUUUAACGAGGAUCUAUUGGAGGGCAAGUCUAGUGCCAGCAGCCGCGGUAAUUCUAGCUCCAAUAGCGUAUAUUAAAGUUGUUGCGGUUAAAAAGCUCGUAGUUGGAUCUCAGUUCCAGACGGGUGGUCCGCCUACCGGUGGUUACUGCCUGUUCUGAACAGCCAGCCGGUUUCUCUUGAUGAUCUUCACCGGUUGUCUUGGGUGACCGGCAAGUUUACUUUGAAAAAAUUAGAGUGCUCAAAGCAGGCGUGACGCCUGAAUAAUGGUGCAUGGAAUAAUGGAAUAGGACCUCGGUUCUAUUUUGUUGGUUUUCGGAACACGAGGUAAUGAUUAAGAGGGACAGACGGGGGCAUUCGUAUUGCGACGCUAGAGGUGAAAUUCUUGGACCGUCGCAAGACGAACUACUGCGAAAGCAUUUGCCAAGAAUGUUUCCAUUAAUCAAGAACGAAAGUUAGAGGUUCGAAGGCGAUCAGAUACCGCCCUAGUUCUAACCAUAAACGAUGCCAGCCAGCGAUCCGGCUGUGUUCCUCAAAUGACACGCCGGGCAGCUUCCGGGAAACCAAAGCUUUUGGGUUCCGGGGGAAGUAUGGUUGCAAAGCUGAAACUUAAAGGAAUUGACGGAGGGGCACCACCAGGAAUGGAGCCUGCGGCUUAAUUUGACUCAACACGGGAAAACUUACCCGGCCCGGACGCAGGAAGGAUUGACAGAUUAAGAGCUCUUUCUUGAUUCUGCGGGGUGUGGUGCAUGGCCGUUCUUAGUUGGUGGAUCGAUUUGUC